AUACGGAAGGUCAGGGCGUUAUCCGGAUUUAUUGGGUUUAAAGGGAGCGCAGGCGGAUUUGCAAGUCAGCCGUGAAAAUCUGUGGCUCAACCACAGUCGUGCGGUUGAAACUGCAUGUCUUGAGACAGCGCAGCGGCACUGGAAUUCGUGGUGUAGCGGUGAAAUGCUUAGAUAUCACGAAGAACUCCGAUCGCGAAGGCAGGUGCCGGGAGCUGUUCUGACGCUGAGGCUCGAAAGUGCGGGUAUCAAACAGGAUUAGAUACCCUGGUAGUCCGCACCGUAAACGAUGGAUACUCGCGGUAUGGCCGUUAGGUUAUGUCGUUACCCGAAAGGUUUAAGUAUCCCACCUGGGGAGUACGCCGGCAACGGUGAAACUCAAAUGAAUUGACGGGG
rnacentral:rRNA from 1 species